UAGAGAAAUUCAAGUAAGGUACAGCCUACUUGAAUCAGGAUACAACCUAAACCUGAGGGUAACUUUGCCUAUGCCUGAUCAAGUAGGCCUAAAAGCAGCCACCUUUAAAAUAGCGUCACAGCUUAGUCGAACCCUUAAUUUAAUCCCAAAAGUCUUUACGAACCCCACCGCAGUACCAAGCAAUUCUAUACAACUAUAGAACCUUUUAUGUUAAAACUAGUAACAAGAAGACCCAACUUCUCUUUAAUGCGAGCAUACAUCAGACAGGACAAACCACUGAUAUUUAACAUACCUGAUCUCACAGUAGAAACAUUACAAGAAAACUCUACUAAACUAUAUGUUAACCUAACACCAGAGCAUUUCAAGAAAGAUUAAAAGAAAAAGAAGGAACUCGGCAAAUUUUAACCCCGCCUGUUUACCAAAAACAUCGCCUCUUGCUUACCUAUAAGAGGACAGCCUGCCCAGUGACUCUGUUAACGGCCGCGGAUC
rnacentral:rRNA from 1 species